CCUUAUAAAAAGCGAUUGCUAUCACCAUUUUGACAAAAGUGGAGUGGAACAGCGCCGCUAAAGGAUUGGACUAUUUUGCUGCAAGACUGACAUUUACAUAGAGUUGAAAAAGAGUAGAUCUAAGAGCGUCAAAACAAAAACUUAUUCAUGGACUAUCAUCGAGGCAUAAUUGAAAGGAAGUCGUCAAUAUUAUCUUAUAUUUCUACUCAUUCAAGGAUGGGGAUAGAUCUAUUGUUCUUUUGGAUAAGCUCCACUGUAAUCUUCAACGAGUGUGAUUUCUUUGAUUAAAUAUGGGUAGAUCUUUAGCAUCAAAGGUGACUAUCAUUUUAAAAGGAAGACUAUGUGGACGGUGAGAGAAUAAAUUGCCAUAAGUGUUCUUUGUUUUUGUUGCUUGUGUUUUUCGUCUUCUUCGUUCUGUUAAAUCUUCCUCCGGGGAAAAAACCAUUGGAUUGGAAUACAAGAAUGAGAGUAGUUGCUGUUGUAGCUAAAGGUUUGGAGUAUUUGCAUGAUAAAAUGAAGCCUCCUGUAAUAUACCGUGACCUCAAAUGCUCCAACAUUUUGUUAGGCUACGAUUAUCAUCCCAAGUUAUUUGAUUUUGGCGGCAAAAGUAGGUUCAAUCGGUGAUAAGACUCAUGUUUCAACAAGAUUUAUGGGAACAUAUGGCUACUGUGCUCGAGAGUACUGAAUGACAGGUCAAUUAACAUUCAAGUCUGACAUUUAUAGCUUUGGAGUUGCUCUUUUGGAGCUCAUCACAGGCAGAAAGGCCUUUGACGAUAUUAAACCUUUAACAGGAGGCUAAAAAUGCAAAAGGGUUGAAUCUAUAGUUGAACUGUGUAAACAAUGGCUCGUAGAAUUAAGAAAAAUGAAAUCAUUUGAAUGAAAUCAUUUUAGACAGAUGAAGAACAACGGUGUAUCACUCAUGACUGUGAUUUCUUUGAUUAAAGUAGAUAAAUAUGUGCAUAAAAGAUUACUAGAUUUUGUAUUACUUUUAAAAGAAGGUAACAAUAAUUAGGAAAUGGAUUGAUGUACUCAUUCUCGUUCAUAUGUACUAUUAUAGUUGGGUUUGAAUUGAUUGAUUUUAUUUAGAUAAGUUCUAAAUAAAAUAAAAUCAAUCUUUUUAAAAGAAAAAGUUAAAGUGAAAAGGAAUCACAUGACGUCUUUGAUAUCCUAACUAUGUUGAUACCUCAAAAAUAAAACACAUAUAUGCAGUAUGUAUUUGUAAAUGUGUUUCAUAACAUUGCAUUUUGUCUAAAGUGUAUUUUAAGACAUUAUAGCAAAAUCACAUUUUUUUUUUCUCGAAAUUAAAUGUUCAAACAUCUAUUGGUGUAAGGAAAUUGAUGUUUGCUCUUCCUGCCCCAUGGUUCUUACAGACCGCCUCAAAUCUUACUGAAAGCUUGUAAGACCCUUAAUUUAGCGAUGACUAAAUCUAGGUAUUUGUAUUUCUUUUUUAUAUUUUUGUUGUUAAUAAAUGGUUUUAAUGAAAUGUUAUGAUCUAGGUUUCAGGUUCGAUUCUCCCUGAUACCAAUUUAGGUUGGUUAAUUUAGUUUCUUAAAAAAAAAUUGUCAUAAUUUAAAAAAAUAAAAUAAAAUUAUUCCUUUGAUUUGAGAAAACAUGUUGUAUGUACGUGAUGUUCAAAUUUUCAAUGGACCAAGAGUGCCAUGAAAAUUUAAACAAGAGUUUAAACAUUGUUAUUUUGAUGAUCCCAUUAUACUUCUUCAAAUUUUGGAAAUGAGAUUUUUGUGGAAAAGUUAUUUUGAUUUCAAAACCAUUAUAUUGAAUGGGAAACCUGUUGAUUAAGUUAGCUAUGUGAGGUUUAGAAUUGACGCACAUAUGUUGUCUUCUACUUUGUAUGAUUGGGUAUGAUUUUCAGAAUGUUUGCUAAGCUUGAAAAUAUAAAUGAAUAUGUUUUUUUACUUGUGUUAUGUGAAAUGUCAUAUUUCAAUUUAUUUUUAAAUUUUCAACCAAAUUAUGCAAAUUUGCAAUUUUAUUCCGAGUAAGUGUAUAUUAAUGGAUCAAAUUAUGUUCCCUAAUUUUAUAGGCAUGAUUAGACAUUCAUAUGAAUCUUCAUCAAAAAAAUUUAGAGUUUUUAAACGAGAGACAAAUUAAUUAUAAUUGUUUAAGAAAUUCUUAAUUAGAAGAAAAAAAUCAAAAUUUAUCGGUCCCGAGUUAGGAAAAUCUAAUUUUUCGUCUAAAAUCAUAUUUUAGCGUUCUAACGUACAUAUAUAGAAACAGUCAUAAAAAAAUUCAACUUCGCUUUCUUAAAUUAUGUGCAUAUUAUAAGAUCAAAAUAAAAACAACCUCAAACUACAAGAUCAGAAUAUAUGUUUUUUUAUUUAUAGAACUACUUUUUUUUUUUUUUUUUGAAGGAAUUUAUAGAACUACUUUUAGACACCACAUAUUAUAAGGGGAAUUUAAAUCAUUAACCCAAAAAUUAAAAAUUAAAUUAGUAGUUCCUUACAUCAUAUUAUUGUCAUGGUUCCUUUUUUUUAAAAAAAAAAAAAGUAAAUUAUUGUCGUGGUUCCACCAUUUGUGUCGGUGACUAUAGAGCCAACCCAACCUGAAAGCGACACAUACAACGCUACGAUAAGUUGCGUAACUAGUUACGUGUACUCACGCGCCAGAGGUACUUUGUGCUUUAGCUUGAUUUUGAACUUCACGCUCCUAAAAUAGGCGUCAUAAAAUGACACUAUAUGUCUUUUUAUUAUUUGUGUUGGUGAUGCAUAUAUUUUCAUCCUUUCCUUAAAAAAACAUAUAUUUUCAUCUCAAAGUUUUUUCUUAGAAAUUUUCGUCUCAAAUUUUGAAUAUAACAUUGAUAAAGCACAUGAUAUAUGUAGAUGAGUAUAUAUGAAGAGCGAGAGCGUAGGAAAGUUUUUAGGUUGAAGGGAAGAAGAGUCAAGGUAAAUGGUAAUGAUAAAGAUACAAAGAGGCGUAGAUAAACGAUGACAGAGUGGAGUAGGUUAAAUAAAGGGAUAUGGUGAGAGAUGUCAAUCGCUGUAAGGAUUAGGGGAUUGAUGAGAAUGAGGGGAUUGUUAGGAUGAAAUGUAAAUAAAGGGAUAAGAAGUUGUGUAUGAAGUAAAUGAAUGACGUGAGGGUUGGUAAAAUAUGUGAGUUAGGAUAUGAAUCGAUUACAAGAGAGUAAGAUGAACUAGAAAGAAGAUAAGGGAUAAAUGAAGAAUAGAGGAUUGUUUUGGGAAUAGUUCAUAAACAAGAACCGAAGAUAAUAGAAGAACCUUAGAAUAAUGAGUCUAAUAACAUAAGUUUAAAUUAAAGAGUAAAAAAUCUAAGUAGAACAAGUAUAAGAUGUUAGCGGCCUAACGCAGUAGAUAGCGAAUAAGAUGAAUCAAUAUAUGAAUAUAGGAAUUUAUAAGUGGAAAUAAUGUUGAGGUAAGAGCUUAAAACUAAGACGAAGAAUAGGAUACGCCAUAGAGGGUAAGGUGUAGAGCCAAAAUGAACAAGUAGAAUAAUGAAGUGGUUUAAGGUCAAGAAGAUGCUAGGUGAAGAAAUAAGACGAAGGUAACUGGAAAUAGAAAGGUGUAAGUUUAAGGAAGGGUAAUGUUAGAAAUAAUAAUAAUAAUGGUGAAGCCGUUUCAAAAUAAUAAUAAUAAUGAUGAAAUAACGACCUUAAGUUAAGAUGAAUAGAGUGUGGACGAUUUAAGAUGAUAGAUGAUGUUGAGAGAAUUGAUUAAACAAAAUAGAACGGGCAUAAAAAGUCGUGUGUUAAGUAAUAAAUGAUGUUAGGGGUAAUAUUAGUCAUGAGACAAGAUAAUAAAUCACUAGAGAAAUAAAAGACCUAAGUUAGUGAUGAGAUAAAACCGCAAGUGCACGGUCUUACCGAAGUAGUAAUAAAAGAGUAUCGUUACGAUAGAGAGUUGUUUAAUUUAUUUAACUUUAAUAGGUGAUUAGAAGAGAAUCAAGAAUAUGAGAUUGGGGUUUUGAAACGGUUGAAAGAUAAUAUAAUAAAAGAGCCUUGGGAUCAUUUGUUCAUCUUCAUGACAAGUUCUUCUCAAACCAAACUAUUAAACUUAUAACCUUAUGUUAGACCUAACUUCUAAAGACAGUUUCUCUUUUGUUGCUCUAGCCACCA